rnacentral:rRNA from 1 species
AUUGAACGCUGGCGGCAGGCCUAACACAUGCAAGUCGAGCGGAUGAAGGGAGCUUGCUCCUGGAUUCAGCGGCGGACGGGUGAGUAAUGCCUAGGAAUCUGCCUGGUAGUGGGGGAUAACGUCCGGAAACGGGCGCUAAUACCGCAUACGUCCAGAGGGAGAAAGUGGGGGAUCUUCGGACCUCACGGUAUCAGAUGAGCCUAGGACUGAUUAGCUAGGUGGUGGGGUAAAGGCCUACCAAGGCGACGAUCCGUAACUGGUCUGAGAGGAUGAUCAGUCACACUGUAACUGAGACACGGUCCAGACUCCUACGGGAGGCAGCAGUGGGGAAUAUUGCACGAUGGGCGAAAGCCUGAUCCAGCCAUGCCGCGUGUGUGAUGAAGGUCUUCGGAUUGUAAAGCACUUUAAGUUGGGAGGAAGUACAGUAAGUUUAUCCCUUGCUGUUUUGACGGUACCAACAGAAUAAGCUCCGGCUAACUUCGUG